UUAAUUUUCUGCCUGUGGGCCGAUAUUAAUAAAAAUAGCGAUGUCGACUCAACCUAUCCUGCAAAGCGUUUUAGGAAAACGCUACCGUGGGAAAAAUUAUCAAACUCCGGGGACACCCUAAAGCUCUUAGUACCAAACUAUAUCCGAAAGGUUAUAAGUGGAUGAACUAAUCACUCAUGUAAGGUAAUAAGCCAAGAGAUGAUGGAAACUGAAAUGGGCAAUCGCGGAACUAAGUCAGAAGUUUCAUUUCAACUCCCACAGCCAAAAUGAAAAGAAAUCUCUGUAAAAGCGCAACGAGUAGACGGUAAUUACUUUCUUUUUAGAAGGUUAAGAUAUACUCUAAUGGGUUUCGAAAGAAACUA
rnacentral:ncRNA from 1 species